AUUGAACGCUGGCGGCAUGCCUUACACAUGCAAGUCGAACGGCAGCACGGGUGCUUGCACCUGGUGGCGAGUGGCGAACGGGUGAGUAAUACAUCGGAACAUGUCCUGUAGUGGGGGAUAGCCCGGCGAAAGCCGGAUUAAUACCGCAUACGAUCUACGGAUGAAAGCGGGGGACCUUCGGGCCUCGCUAUAGGGUUGGCCGAUGGCUGAUUAGCUAGUUGGUGGGGUAAAGGCCUACCAAGGCGACGAUCAGUAGCUGGUCUGAGAGGACGACCAGCCACACUGGGACUGAGACACGGCCCAGACUCCUACGGGAGGCAGCAGUGGGGAAUUUUGGACAAUGGGCGAAAGCCUGAUCCAGCAAUGCCGCGUGUGUGAAGAAGGCCUUCGGGUUGUAAAGCACUUUUGUCCGGAAAGAAAUCCUUGGCCCUAAUACGGUCGGGGGAUGACGGUACCGGAAGAAUAAGCACCGGCUAACUACGUG
rnacentral:rRNA from 1 species